UCCGGUGACUUUAUCCAACUGGAAACACACGUUCCCAUACCGAACACGACCGUUAAGCAGUUGGAGCCGAUGAUAGUGCCGAAAGGUGCGAAAGUAGGUUAUCGCCGGUU
rnacentral:rRNA from 1 species